rnacentral:rRNA from 1 species
GAUGAACGCUGGCGGCGUGCCUAAUACAUGCAAGUCGAACGAAACUUCUUUAUCACCGAGUGCUUGCACUCACCGAUAAAGAGUUGAGUGGCGAACGGGUGAGUAACACGUGGGCAGCCUGCCCAAAAGAGGGGGAUAACACUUGGAAACAGGUGCUAAUACCGCAUAACCAUAGUUACCGCAUGGUAACUAUGUAAAAGGUGGCUAUACUACCGCUUUUGGAUGGGCCCGCGGCGCAUUAGCUAGUUGGUAGGGUAAAGGCUUACCAAGGCAAUGAUGCGUAGCCGAAUUGAGAGGUUGAUCGGCCACAUUGGGACUGAGACACGGCCCAAACUCCUACGGGAGGCAGCAGUAGGGAAUCUUCCACAAUGGGCGAAAGCCUGAUGGAGCAACGCCGCGUGGGUGAAGAAGGUCUUCGGAUCGUAAAACCCUGUUGUUAGAGAAGAAAGUGCGUGAGAGUAACUGUUCACGUUUCGACGGUAUCUAAACAGAAAGCCACGGCUAACUACGUG